rnacentral:rRNA from 1 species
GAUGAACGCUGGCGGCGUGCCUAAUACAUGCAAGUCGAGCGAACAGACGAGGAGCUUGCUCCUCUGACGUUAGCGGCGGACGGGUGAGUAACACGUGGAUAACCUACCUAUAAGACUGGGAUAACUUCGGGAAACCGGAGCUAAUACCGGAUAAUAUAUUGAACCGCAUGGUUCAAUAGUGAAAGACGGUUUUGCUGUCACUUAUAGAUGGAUCCGCGCCGCAUUAGCUAGUUGGUAAGGUAACGGCUUACCAAGGCAACGAUGCGUAGCCGACCUGAGAGGGUAAUCGGCCACACUGGAACUGAGACACGGUCCAGACUCCUACGGGAGGCAGCAGUGGGGAAUCUUCCGCAGUGGGCGAAAGCCUGACGGAGCAACGCCGCGUGAGUGAUGAAGGUCUUCGGAUCGUAAAACUCUGUUAUUAGGGAAGAACAAAUGUGUAAGUAACUAUGCACGUCUUGACGGUACCUAAUCAGAAAGCCACGGCUAACUACGUG